rnacentral:rRNA from 1 species
GACGAACGCUGGCGGCGUGCUUAACACAUGCAAGUCGAACGGAAAGGCCCUGCUUUUGUGGGGGGCUCGAGUGGCGAACGGGUGAGUAACACGUGAGUAACCUGCCCUUGACUUUGGGAUAACUUCAGGAAACUGGGGCUAAUACCGGAUAGGAGCGCCUGCUGCAUGGUGGGGGUUGGAAAGUUUCGGCGGUUGGGGAUGGACUCGCGGCUUAUCAGCUUGUUGGUGGGGUAGUGGCUUACCAAGGCUUUGACGGGUAGCCGGCCUGAGAGGGUGACCGGCCACAUUGGGACUGAGAUACGGCCCAGACUCCUACGGGAGGCAGCAGUGGGGAAUAUUGCACAAUGGGCGGAAGCCUGAUGCAGCAACGCCGCGUGCGGGAUGACGGCCUUCGGGUUGUAAACCGCUUUCGCCUGUGACGAAGCGUGAGUGACGGUAAUGGGUAAAGAAGCACCGGCUAACUACGUG